UCAUUAGAUACCCGGGUAGUCCACACCGCCCGUCACACCAUGAGAGCCGAUAACACCCGAAGCCUGUGAGCUAACCGUAAGGGGGCAGCAGUCGAAGGUGGGGUUGGUGAUUGGGGUGAAGUCGUAACAAGGUAAC
rnacentral:rRNA from 1 species